CCUACGGGCGGCAGCAGUGAGGAAUAUUGGUCAAUGGACGAGAGUCUGAACCAGCCAAGUAGCGUGAAGGAUGACUGCCCUAUGGGUUGUAAACUUCUUUUAUAUGGGAAUAAAACGUUCCACGUGUGGGAUUUUGUAUGUACCAUAUGAAUAAGGAUCGGCUAACUCCGUGCCAGCAGCCGCGGUAAUACGGAGGAUCCGAGCGUUAUCCGGAUUUAUUGGGUUUAAAGGGAGCGUAGGUGGAUUGUUAAGUCAGUUGUGAAAGUUUGCGGCUAAACCGUAAAAUUGCAGUUGAAACUGGCAGUCUUGAGUACAGUAGAGGUGGGCGGAAUUCGUGGUGUAGCGGUGAAAUGCUUAGAUAUAACGAAGAACUCCGAUUGCGAAGGCAGUUCACUGGACUGCAACUGACACUGAGGCUCGAAAGUGUGGGUAUCAAACAGGAUUAGAUACCGAGUAGUC
rnacentral:rRNA from 1 species